GUAGAUGACAGGACAGCCUAUUGGCCCUAAUGGAGGUGAGGGUUUACCAGGUAGAUGACAGGACAGCCUAUUGGCCCUAAUGAAGGUGAGGGUUUACCAGGUAGAUGACAGGACAGCCUAUUGGCCCUAAUGAAGGUGAGGGUUUACCAGGUAGAUGACAGGACAGCCUAUUGGCCCUAAUGAAGGCUCAAAGGCUGAACUCCUCAUUGCUAAAAAAAAAAAAAAAAAAACACUUUAUUGAACUGUCACUUUAUUCCCUUUAACAGUGGGCAAAAUGUAUAGCAGUUCUCUAAGAAUGUACCCCUAAAUGAACCUUAUGAAACAAAUGAACCUUGAAUUAUUGAAAUUAGCAUACAUAAGUGACAGUGAAUAUGCUCAGUGUUUUCAUAAACAUCUCUAUUUAUAUGCACAAUAAUGAGGAAGACUGGUGAACAGUUUGGAUGGAACGUUCCACUGCCAUAAUAAAUCCUCAUUUAGAGGAAGAGUUUGGCGCCACCACAUGGCAGUUGAAGGUAGAC
ensembl:lncRNA